GAUGAAGAACGUAGCGAAAUGCGAUAAGUAAUGUGAAUUGCAGAAUUCAGAGAAUCAUCGAAUCUUUGAACGCACAUUGCGCCCGCUAGUAUUCUGGCGGGCAUGCCUGUCCGAGCGUCAUUUCAACCCUCAAGCCCCCGGGCUUGGUGUUGGGGAUCGGCGAGCCUCCGCGCCCGCCGUCCCCUAAAUCUAGUGGCGGUCUCGCUGUAGCUUCCUCUGCGUAGUAGCACACCUCGCACUGGGAAACAGCGCGGCCACGCCGUUAAACCCCCAACUUCUGAACGUUUGACCUCGGAUCAGGUAGGAAUACCCGCUGAACUUAAGCAUAUCAAUAAGCGGAGGA
rnacentral:misc_RNA from 1 species